ACGACGCUGGCGGCAUGCCUAACACAUGACAAGUCGAACGAGACCUUCGGGUCUAGUGGCGCACGGGUGAGUAAUGCGUGGAUAAUCUGCCCUUUAGUUGGGAAUAACGUACCGAAAGGUGCGCUAAUACCUGAUAAUACUGCAUAACUACUGUUGUGUAGUCAAAGAAGGCCUCUGUUUACAAGCUUUUGCUGAAGGAUGAGUCCGCGUACCAUUAGCUGGUUGGUGGGGUAAUGGCCUACCAAGGCUACGAUGGUUAGCUGGUCUGAGAGGAUGAUCAGCCACACUGGAACUGAGACACGGUCCAGACUCCUACGGGAGGCAGCAGUGAGGAAUAUUGCGCAAUGGGGGCAACCCUGAUCCAGCCAUGCCGCGUGAGUGAAGAAGGCCUUCGGGUUGUAAAGCUCUUUCGGCCGGGAAGAAAUCGUAUGGGUUAAUACCCUGUGCGGAUGACGGUACCGGCAUAAGAAGCACCGGCUAACUACGUG
rnacentral:rRNA from 1 species